UCAGCAAGAUACAGGAGCUUGUUUUAAGUAAAUAAUUCUUUAAUGCUGAUGAAAAAGUGCUAGAUCCACUGGAACUAGCACUUCUUUUGUUCUAAUCGAUACACUUGUCUUAUUUCUACUAGAAAACAGACCACAAAUGCUCAGUAAGAUGUAUUUUCUUCUUUUGCAGUGCAUCAGCUACAGUCAGUGAGAGAACUACUGACAGAGUUUAACCUUUAGAAACGUCUCUGACGUUUCUCUCACCACUGACUAGAGUGAACUGUUUUUCCUGGGCUGCGUCAGGCACCAGGUUUGGUCAAACUGGAAUAUGUCCGACUUCUAGGGAGGAAACAACUGCACGAGCAGCAGGGACUGAUAGUUUAUCAGCUUGUAGCCGUUAACAAAGAGCCAGACUGUUGACAGCACUUUAAAUGCGCUGCAGGAGUCAGACUGCUGUUGUUCGGCUCCGGCUUGCAGCCUAGAAAACUGAUAAUAGAAGCGCUGCAGAGGCCCGUUUCCACUCUGUGAAACACAGUUUGGUAUGACUCCUGCUUGGAUGUUUUGCUGAAAGAAGAAAAACAUAACUGUGACACAUGUGAGUCAUUAAUCCAGAUGAUGAAAUGUUGUUUGUCUGGGGGUUUUCAGAGCUGCGGUUGUCCAGUUUGGUGACUGUCCUGCGAUGUCAUUGUGGAGGAGAGACGGUGGAGUUUCUCGGAUGUCAUCUGCUCCACAUUUCUAUCCUCCACGAAACUUUACAUGAACUAGUAAAGUUUCAAAGAGACCAAGUGUUGUUAAGUUGUUUUGAUCCUUUUCAUUUCAGGGUGGUUGUAUAUAUCUUUUUUUAUGUAUGUGAAGUCCAUAAACUUUUAAAAACACAACAAAUGAAGGAUUCCUUUGAUCCUGCAGUGGUUCAUAAGCUUCAUGUCUCACAGAAAUAUUCAUAGUCCUUCGAAAUGUUCAUAUUAGAGCAAACUUUCUCUGAGACACUUUGUAGCUCUGCCACAUAGCUGGACCUUAGGGGAAUAAAAUACAUAGAAGCUUUCGCUUCUAAGGUAAACAAUAUGUGGAAAAGUUUAUGAGAUGUGAAUAAUUUUGCAAGGCAUUGUGGUUUAGGGUUUACUUUCUUAGCUAUUUACAUUCCGACAUGUUAUAUUUGUAUAAUUAUUUGUAUAACUUGAGCUUCUGUCGGCUAACCAAACAGAAUCCUUCGAGGAACAUGCCUUAAAAAGACAGGAGGAUUUCAGAAACGUUUGAUACCAGAGACAGCAGCAACACACAGCAUGUAUAUAAAUCCUCACCAACAGGCUCCCAAAAUUACAUUCCAAACUUGUAAAUGAGGGCAAUAUGUGGUUCUUUGAGUCUUCACAAACUAUAGCAACCACAGGCCUGAAGCGCCGCUUCCCGCAGGCAUCAGGAAGACGACACUGGUCUCUAGGAAAAGCCCGAGAAGCUGUAAAUCUUGCGCAGCAUGUUGUGCAGCGUGUUGUGCAGCGUGUUGUGCAGCGUGUUGUGCAGUGUGUGCUGCAUGUGAGAAUGAGAAGUUCCCCACUGCUCAGAAAAUACUGUACAUCCCGGCGCGCGCAUGUUGUCUGGAGUCCACCAAGUUCACGUGCCCAAAUCUUUUCCAGAUGUCAGAUAAUCAGUGGAGUGUUUAAACUAUUUUUUCCUAUCUGUGACAGUGCAGCCCCCCCCCUCCUGUACCUCCCACCCGCCUUCUUUUAGGUCCUGCUGCCAACAGCAGCAUGACUGAUUAGUCUCUCCGAGCCAUUUUGGUUUUUCAUUUUGGUUAUGCGCUUCCUUCCAGAGUGGACUUCAUAGGCUCAAAUAAAUACCCAUUAAUCCACAAGCAUCCAUUCCGAUCGUUCCAGCUCGUCCCCACCUGGUGCUCUCCUUACGGUUCUCACCCACCGCAACAAAAAACAAAAGAAGCAACACAAUCGGUUCAACAUGUCUGCCUCUUUGUGUACGUUUUCCUUUACGUUUCCCCAAAGCUCUCCUCCUCAGGCCUCCAAAGAAAGUGAGCUUUUACAGGAAUAGUUUGGCAGCUGGCGAGGCUCGCGGCACUCCGCAGCAGUUUCAUUCCUUUUUUGGCUUUGUUCUCGGUGCGUCAGGCAGAAGCGGCCGGCAGAAAGGAAACACACUUCAUAUCCUCACGGCCCCAUCGCUCACUGCUUUACUGGCUCAGCAUGAACACACUUCAAAGGCCUUUUUGGCAUUCAUUAGGAAUGCUGAAGACAUUCUUCUUUGGAUUGGAGUGCGAAAGAGAUCGCCAUCAAAUGGGAUUAACAGCAGGAGUGGAAGGAGAGGAAGAGGAGGAGGAGAUGCAGAAAGUGAAGAAAUCAGCCAGCAAACGAGUUGGAGCGCAGCAAGCCACGAACUUUCUCACUCUGGAGAGUCUAUUGUGUUAACUAAUCCAUCCGACUCCGCCGGGGAGCUCGGCAAACACACGAACCCCGCCACAUAAACACAGUCUGAGUUUGUUACAGACACCAGUCUGGAGGGAGAACGGGUUUCUGGUGAUGCUUUUCCCCUUCUGGUUUCCUCAGUCUGAACUGGCUCCCUCUUUAUAAGCCUCACCUAAAUGAAUGGGUAUCAAACUCAAGCCUCUGUGUGCUCCCAGAAACACCAGAGAGCCUCUCUGACCACGCAGGAUUUCAGCACAGGCCGAGGAAAGCUAAAAUAAUCUACAUCAUCAUUUGGUCAUUUGGAUUUCUAAAAAAAAAAAAAAAAAAAAAAAAA